GACGAACGCUGGCGGCGCGCCUAAUGCAUGCAAGUCGAACGAAGACCAACCUUCGGGUGAAGUCUUAGUGGCAGACGGCUGAGUAACGCGUGAGUGACCUGCCCUGGAGAGGGGGAUAACAUCGGGAAACCGAUGCUAAUACCGCGUACGCUCAUCAGUGUCAAGGCUGAUGAGGAAACGAAUUUCGCUCUAGGAGGGGCUCGCGUCCUAUCAGGUAGUUGGUGGGGUAAUGGCCUACCAAGCCGAAGACGGGUACCUGGUGUGAGAGCACGACCAGGCAGAGGGGGACUGAGACACGGCCCCC
rnacentral:rRNA from 1 species